rnacentral:lncRNA from 1 species
UUUUUUUACAUUUUAAUAUGUAUUUAAAUGAGUAGUUAUUGUUGCAAACUCCAUUAGAAAUUUGAAUUGAGAUCAGUUUUGGAAUAAGGGAAAGGGGCAUGUGAAAAAAAAAUUGGGGAGGAGGGGUUAAAUUUUUCUCAUUUCAGAUUUCAUAAAUAAAAAGAAAAAUUCUUCUAACAUUUUUUUGACAGGAUUAAUAUUCAACAGCAUAGUGAAUUGCUCAAAGGCAAAAAAAAAAAAAUUGUCAUUAGUUCAUUAGACCACAUUCAUUCUGUGUCAGAAACCUAUGUUGUGUCAACUAUUUAAUCACAAUCCAAAUUUAGAGCU